rnacentral:snRNA from 1 species
CUAUGUGAGAGCGAUCUGGCUGCGACAUCUGUCACCCCAUUGAUCACCAGGGUUGAUUCGGCUGAUCUGGCUGGCUAGGCGGGUGUCCCCUUCCUCCCUCACCGUUUCAUGUGCGUCCCUCCCAAAGCUGCACGCUUGGUGGAAGAGGACGACCAUCCCAGAUAAAAGGAGUGUACCGAUCUUUGGUCAAGGGUAUACAAUAGCUGCGCUCCCCUGCUAGAACCUCCAAACAAGCUCAACUAUUGCUAUUUUAAAUGGGUGAAGGAGGGACAAGAAAAAAAAAUUGACUUGACUGCAUAUCAAAUCUGAUUUUGAUCAGAUAUUUAUG